UGGACAGGGUAAAUCCUGACAAGACUACGUGGAUGACUUUGUAUUGGAAAAGGUAAAUCCUGACAAGACUACCCGGAUGACUUUGUAGUGGACAGGGUAAAUCCUGACAAGACUACGUGGAUGACUGUAGUGGACAGGGUUAAUCCUGACAAGACUACGCAGAUGACUGUAGUGGACAGGGUAAAUCCUGACAAGACUAUGCGGAUGACUGUAGUGGACAGGGUAAAUCCUGACAAGACUACGCGGAUGACUUUGUAGUGGACAGAGUAAAUCCUUACAAGACUAUGCGGAUUACUGUAGUGGACAAGGUUAAUCCUGACAAUACUACGCAGAUGACUGUGUAGUGGACAGGGUAAAUCCUGACAAGACUGUGUGGGUGACUUUGUAGUGGACAGGGACAGGGUUAAUCCUGACAAGACUACAUGGAUGACUUUGUAGUGGACAAGGUAAAUCAUGACAAGACUAUGGGAUGACUUUGUAGUGGACAAGGUAAAUCCUGACAAGACUAUGCGGAUGACUUUGUUGUGGACAGGGUAAAUCCUGACAAGACUACGCAGAUGUCUUUGUAGUGGACAGGGUUAAUCCUGACAAGGAUGCACGGAUGACUUUGUAGUGGACAAGGUAAAUCCUGACAAAACUAUGUGGAUGACUUUGUUGUGGGCAGGGUAAAUCCUGACAAGACUUUGCGGAUUACUGUAGAGGACAAGGUUAAUCCUGACAAGACUACACGAAUGACUGUAGUGGACAAGGUUAAUCCUGACAAGACUACGUGCAUGACUUUGUAGUGGACAAGGUUAAUCCUGACAAGACUACGCAGAUGACUGUAGUGGACAGGGUAAAUCCUGACAAGACUGCGUGGAUGACUUUGUAGUGGACAAGGUUAAUCCUGACAAGGAUGCACGGAUGACUUUGUAGUGGACAGGGUAAAUCCUGACAAGACUACGCGGAUGACUUUGUAGUGGACAGGGUUAAUCCUGACAAGACUUUGCGGAUGACUUUGUAGUGGACAAGGUAAAUCCUGACAAGACUACACGGAUGACUUUGUAGUGGACAAGGUUAAUCCUGACGAGACUAUGCUGAUGACUUUGUAGUGGACAAGGUAAAUCCUGACAAGACUACCCGGAUGACUUUGUAGUGGACAGGGUAAAUCCUGACAAGACUACGUGGAUGACUGUAGUGGACAGGGUUCAUCCUGACAAGACUACGCAGAUGACUGUAGUGGACAGGGUAAAUCCUGACAAGACUACGCGGAUGACUGUAGUGGACAGGGUAAAUCCUGACAAGACUACGCGGAUGACUUUGUAGUGGACAGGGUAAAUCCUUACAAGACUAUGCGGAUUACUGUAGUUGACAAGGUUAAUCCUGACAAUACUACGCAGAUGACUGUGUAGUGGACAGGGUAAAUCCUGACAAGACUGUGUGGAUGACUUUGUAGUGGACAGGGACAGGGUAAAUCCUGACAAGACUACAUGGAUGACUUUGUAGUGGACAAGGUAAAUCAUGACAAGACUAUGGGAUGACUUUGUAGUGGACAAGGUAAAUCCUGACAAGACUAUGCGGAUGACUUAGUAGUGGACAGGGUAAAUCCUGACAAGACUACACAGAUGUCUUUGUAGUGGACAGGGUUAAUCCUGACAAGGAUGCACGGAUGACUUUGUAGUGGACAAGGUAAAUCCUGACAAAACUAUGUGGAUGACUUUGUUGUGGGCAGGGUAAAUCCUGACAAGACUUUGCGGAUUACUGUAGAGGACAAGGUUAAUCCUGACAAGACUACACGAAUGACUGUAGUGGACAAGGUUAAUCCUGACAAGACUACGUGCAUGACUUUGUAGUGGACAAGGUUAAUCCUGACAAGACUACGCAGAUGACUGUAGUGGACAGGGUAAAUCCUGACAAGACUGCGUGGAUGACUUUGUAGUGGACAAGGUUAAUCCUGACAAGGAUGCACGGAUGACUUUGUAGUGGACAGGGUAAAUCCUGACAAGACUACGCGGAUGACUUUGUAGUGGACAGGGUUAAUCCUGACAAGACUUUGCGGAUGACUUUGUAGUGGACAAGGUAAAUCCUGACAAGACUACACGGAUGACUUUGUAGUGGACAAGGUUAAUCCUGACGAGACUAUGCUGAUGACUUUGUAGUGGACAAGGUAAAUCCUGACAAGACUACCCGGAUGACUUUGUAGUGGACAGGGUAAAUCCUGACAAGACUACGUGGAUGACUGUAGUGGACAGGGUUCAUCCUGACAAGACUACGCAGAUGACUGUAGUGGACAGGGUAAAUCCUGACAAGACUACGCGGAUGACUGUAGUGGACAGGGUAAAUCCUGACAAGACUACGCGGAUGACUUUGUAGUGGACAGGGUAAAUCCUUACAAGACUAUGCGGAUUACUGUAGUUGACAAGGUUAAUCCUGACAAGACUACGCAGAUGACUGUAGUGGACAGGGUAAAUCCUGACAAGACUGCGUGGAUGACUUUGUAGUGGAAAGGGACAGGGUAAAUCCUGACAAGACUACGUGGAUGACUUUGUAUUUGACAAGGUUAAUCCUGACAAUACUACGCAGAUGACUGUAGUUGACAGGGUAAAUCUGUAAAAGACUACGUGGAUGACUUUGUAGUGGACAGGGUAAAUCCUGACAAGACUAUGCAGAUGACUUUGUAGUGGACAGGGUUAAUCCUGACAAGACUACGCGGAUGGCUGUAGUGGACAGAGUAAAUCCUGACAAGACUAUGUGGAUGACUUUGUAGUGGACAAGGUAAAUCCUGACAAGACUACCCGGAUGACUUUGUAGUGGACAAGGUUAAUCCUGACAAGACUAGGCAGAUGACUAGUGGACAGGGUAAAUCCUGACAAGACUAUGUGGAUGACUUUGUAGUGGACAAGGUAAAUCCUGACAAGACUACCCGGAUGACUUUGUAGUGGACAGGGUAAAUCCUGACAAGACUACGUGGAUGACUGUAGUGGACAGGGUUAAUCCUGACAAGACUACGCGGAUGACUGUAGUGGACAGGGUAAAUCCUGACAAGACUACGUGGAUGACUGUAGUGGACAGGGUAAAUCCUGACAAGACUACGCGGAUGACUUUGUAGUGGACAGGGUAAAUCCUUACAAGACUAUGCGGAUUACUGUAGUGGACAAGGUUAAUCCUGACAUUACUACGCAGAUGACUGUGUAGUGGACAUGGUAAAUCCUGACAAGACUGCGUGGAUGACUUUGUAGUGGACAGGGACAGGGUAAAUCCUGACAAGACCACGUGGAUAACUUUGUAGUGGACAAGGUAAAUCCUGACAAGACUAUGGGAUGACUUUGUAGUGGACAAGGUAAAUCCUGACAAGACUAUGCAGAUGACUGUAGUGGACAGGGUAAGUCCUGACAAGACUGCGUGGAUGACUUUGUAGUGGACAGGGACAGGGUAAAUCCUGACAAGACUACGUGGAUGACUUUGUAGUGGACAAGGUUAAUCCUGACAAUACUACGCAGAUGACUGUAGUGGACAGGGUAAAUCUGUACAAGACUACGUGGAUGACUUUGUUGUGGACAGGGUAAAUCCUGACAAGACUAUGCAGAUGACUUUGUAGUGGACAAGGUAAAUCAUGACAAGACUUCGGGAUGACUUUGUAGUGGAGAAGGUAAAUCCUGACAAGACUAUGCGGAUGACUUUGUAGUGGACAGGGUAAAUCUUGACAAGACUACACGGAUGACUUUGUAGUGGACAGGGUAAAUCCUGACGAGACUAUGUGGAUGACUUUGACGUGGAAAAGGUUAAUCCUGACAAGACUACGCGGAUGACUUUGAAGUGGACACGGUUGGUUAAUCCUGACAAGACUAGGCGGAUGACUUUGUAGUGGACAAGGUAAAUCCUGACGACUACGGGGAUUACUCUGUAGUGGACAGGGUAAAUCCUGACAAGACUACGCGGAUGACUUUGUAGUGGACAGGGUUAAUCCUGACAAGACUACGUGGAUGACUUUGUAGUGGACAGGGUUAAUCCUGACAAGACUACAUGGAUGACUUUGUAGUGGACAGGGUAAAUCCUGACAAGACUACGUGGAUGACUUUGUAGUUGACAAGGUAAAUCCUGACAAGGCGACGAGGAUGACUUUGUAGUGGACAAGGUUAAUCCUGACAAGACUAGGCAGAUGACUAGUGGACAGGGUAAAUCCUGACAAGACUAUGUGGAUGACUUUGUAGUUGACAAGGUAAAUCCUGACAAGGCGACGAGGAUGACUUUGUAGUGGACAGGGUUAAUCCUGACAAGACUACAUGGAUGACUUUGUAGUGGACAGGGUAAAUCCUGACAAGACUACGUGGAUGACUUUGUAGUUGACAAGGUAAAUCCUGACAAGGCGACGAGGAUGACUUUGUAGUGGACAAGGUUAAUCCUGACAAGACUAGGCAGAUGACUAGUGGACAAGGUAAAUCCUGACAAGACUACCCGGAUGACUUUGUAGUGGACAGGGUAAAUCCUGACAAGACUAUGUGAAUGACUGUAGUGGACAGGGUUAAUCCUGACAAGACUACGCGGAUGACUGUAGUGGACAGGGUAAAUCCUGACAAGACUACGUGGAUGACUGUAGUGGACAGGGUAAAUCCUGACAAGACUACGCGGAUGACUUUGUAGUGGACAGGGUAAAUCCUUACAAGACUAUGCGGAUUACUGUAGUGGACAAGGUUAAUCCUGACAUUACUACGCAGAUGACUGUGUAGUGGACAUGGUAAAUCCUGACAAGACUGCAUGGAUGACUUUGUAGUGGACAGGGACAGGGUAAAUCCUGACAAGACCACAUGGAUAACUUUGUAGUGGACAAGGUAAAUCCUGACAAGACUAUGGGAUGACUUUGUAGUGGACAAGGUAAAUCCUGACAAGACUAUGCAGAUGACUGUAGUGGACAGGGUAAGUCCUGACAAGACUGCGUGGAUGACUUUGUAGUGGACAGGGACAGGGUAAAUCCUGACAAGACUACGUGGAUGACUUUGUAGUGGACAAGGUUAAUCCUGACAAUACUACGCAGAUGACUGUAGUGGACAGGGUAAAUCUGUACAAGACUACGUGGAUGACUUUGUUGUGGACAGGGUAAAUCCUGACAAGACUAUGCAGAUGACUUUGUAGUGGACAAGGUAAAUCAUGACAAGACUUCGGGAUGACUUUGUAGUGGAGAAGGUAAAUCCUGACAAGACUAUGCGGAUGACUUUGUAGUGGACAGGGUAAAUCUUGACAAGACUACACGGAUGACUUUGUAGUGGACAGGGUAAAUCCUGACGAGACUAUGUGGAUGACUUUGACGUGGAAAAGGUUAAUCCUGACAAGACUACGCGGAUGACUUUGAAGUGGACACGGUUGGUUAAUCCUGACAAGACUAGGCAGAUGACUUUGUAGUGGACAAGGUAAAUCCUGACGACUACGGGGAUUACUCUGUAGUGGACAGGGUAAAUCCUGACAAGACUACGCGGAUGACUUUGUAGUGGACAGGGUUAAUCCUGACAAGACUACGUGGAUGACUUUGUAGUGGACAGGGUUAAUCCUGACAAGACUACAUGGAUGACUUUGUAGUGGACAGGGUAAAUCCUGACAAGACUACGUGGAUGACUGUAGUUGACAAGGUAAAUCCUGACAAGGCGACGAGGAUGACUUUGUAGUGGACAGGGUUAAUCCUGACAAGACUAGGCGGAUGACUGUAGUGGACAGGGUAAAUCCUGACAAGACAACGUGGAUGACUUUGUAGUUGACAAGGUAAAUCCUGACAAGACUACGUGGAUGACUUUGUUGUGGACAGGGUAAAUCCUGACAAGACUAUGCAGAUGACUUUGUAGUGGACAGGGUAAAUCCUGACAAGACUACGUGGAUGACUCUGUAGUUGACAAGGUAAAUCCUGACAAGACUACGGGGAUUACUCUGUAGUGGACAGGGUAAAUCCUGACAAGACUACAUGGAUGACUGUAGUGAACAAGGUAAAUCCUGACAAGACUACGGGGAUUACUCUGUAGUGGACAUGUUAAAUCUUGACAAGACUACGUGGAUGACUGUGUAGUGGACAGGGUUUAUCCUGACAAGACUACGCGGAUGACUGUAUUGGACAGGGUAAAUCCUGACAAGACUACGCGGAUGACUGUUUAGUGGACAGGGUUAAUCCUGACAAGACUACGCGGAUGACUGUAGUGGACAAGGUAAAUCCUGGCAAGACUACACAGAUGACUUUGUAGUGGACAAGGUUAAUCCUGACAAGACUAUGCGGAUGACUUUGUAGUGGAGAAGGUUAAUCCUGACAAGACUAGGCGGAUGACUAGUGGACAGGGUAUAUCCUGACAAGACUACCUGGAUGACUUUGUAGUGGACAGGGAAAAUCCUGACAAGACUACGCGGAUGACUUUGACGUGGACAAGGUAAAUCCUGACAAGACUACGUGGAUGGCUUUGUAGUGGACUGGGUAAAUCCUGACAAGACUACGUGGAUGACUUUGUAGUGGACAAGGUUAAUCCUGACAAGACUACGUGGAUGACUUUGUAGUGGACAAGGUUAAUCCUGACAAGACUGUGCGGAUGACUUUGUAGUGGACAAGGUAAAUCCUGACAAGACUAUGCAGAUGACUUUGUAGUGGACUGGGUAAAUCCUGACAAGACUAUGCAGAUGACUUUGUAGUGGACAAGGUUAAUCCUGACAAGACUAUGCGGAUGACUUUGUAGUGGACAAGGUAAAUCCUGACAAGACUAUGUGGAUUACUUUGUAGUGGACAAGGUUAAUCCUGACAAGACUAUGCGGAUGACUUUGUAGUGGACAAGGUAAAUCCUGACAAUACUAUGUGGAUUACUUUGUAGUGGACAAGGUAAAUCCUGACAAGACUAUGUGGAUUACUUUGUAGUGAACACGAUUAAUGCUGACAAGACUUUGUGGAUUACUUUGUAGUGGACAAGAUUAAUGCUGACAAGGAUGCGCAGACCUGGUGGGUCUGGAGCUACACUGGCCGCAUAUGGGGUAUAAAACAUAUUUUGUCAUGAUUUAUAUAUUUUAAAAUACUAAUGUGAUUUGUAUGUGUGCAGUAUGGAAUUCAAUCAAAGAAAAUAAUGGUUUACAAUAUGUAUGCUGUACAUUUAAAGUAUUUCAUAAGGAAUGACAAGAAACUCUUUAUUAUUUAUUUUGAAAUUUAUUGUACCAAAUAUUAUUUAUAAACAAAUUAUUUUAUACAUUUUAAACUUAAACAGAAAAGUAAAUUAGAUUUGUGUUCAUGCAACUUUGGGUCGUAAAAUUAUGCAAACUGUUUUUUUUAAUGUAUUGAUAUUCAAAUACACAUUGAUUACUGGUAGAUACAUGCAACAACAAUGGACGGACCUGCAAUAUAUCACUUGUUUUGAUUAGGUAACAAACAAUACUGGUAUAUAAAAUACAACAAUCAUUAUAAAAAAUCAAAAGCAUACAAAGAAUCCAGUAUUAACAAGAGAUUUCCAAGCAAUAUUGUCCCCUACCGGUGAAACUCCACCAUUGUCAGAUUUUUUUUUAUCUUUUUAUAUGUGUUGCCAUAGCAACCACAAUUCUUGACGUAUGAACAAAAUGAAAUGGUGUGCAUAAUUUCCAUAUUGCCAUCUAUCCAUGUUUCAAGUUUCAUGAAAUAAUAUGAAGAACUUUUAAAGUUAUCGCAGAAUCAAGAAAAGUGUGACAGACAGACUGACUGACUGACAGACGGAGUGCAAACCAUACAAGUCCCCUCC